UGGAGCGAUGCAGCCAGUACGCAGAGGGUGUCUGUCCUACUCCACACAGUGCCACAGGACUGUAUCUGCCGUAACGAUGUUAGAAGAACUUGUGCUUUGCAGCGCAAACUUGCCAGCUGGAAACUCACCUCCACCGUGUGGACUGGCUCGAGACUGUGGCUGGGAGAAGAUCUUUGCAAUCCUUCAGUCUUGAAUUUGCUUCAGGGAUGUGACUCUCCUGUCUGCUCCUGAAAUGUAAGACCCGAGACCAGGGAAUGUGUAACAUUUCAUUAAAAUGCAUCUAUUAUGGGAUGUAAAAAUGGGAUGUUGUUUUCUCAGCUGCUGUUCAAUUCUCA
rnacentral:lncRNA from 1 species